GACGAACGCUGGCGGCGUGCUUAACACAUGCAAGUCGAACGCUGAAGCCCUUUCGGGGGUGGAUGAGUGGCGAACGGGUGAGUAACACGUGGGUAAUCUGCCCUGCACUCUGGGAUAAGCCCUGGAAACGGGGCCUAAUACCGGAUAGGACACAUCGCCGCAUGGUGCGUGUGUGGAAAGUUCCGGCGGUGCAGGUUGAGCCCGCGGCCUAUCAGCUUGUUGGUGGGGUGAUGGCCGACCAAGGCGACGACGGGUAGCCGGCCUAAGAGGGUGACCGGCCACACUGGGACUGAGACACGGCCCAGACUCCUACGGGAGGCAGCAGUGGGGAAUCUUGCGCAAUGGGCGAAAGCCUGACGCAGCAACGCCGCGUGGGGGAUGUCGGCCUUCGGGUUGUAAACCUCUUUCGACCGGGACGAAGGGUGACUGACGGUACCGGUAGAAGAAGCACCGGCUAACUACGUGCCAGCCGCCGCUGUAA
rnacentral:rRNA from 1 species